rnacentral:rRNA from 1 species
AUGAACGCUGGCGGCGUGCUUCACCCAUGCCAGUCGAACGGAAAGGCUCCUGCUUGCAGGGGUACUCGAGUGGCGAACGGGUGAGUAACACGUGGGUGAUCUGCCCUGCACUUCGGGAUAAGCCUGGGUAACUGGGUCUAAUACCGGAUAGGACGAUGGUUUGGAUGCCAUUGUGGAAAGUUUUUCGGUGUGGGAUGAGCUCGCGGCCUAUCAGCUUGUUGGUGGGGUAAUGGCCUACCAAGGCGUCGACGGGUAGCCGGCCUGAGAGGGUGUACGGCCACAUUGGGACUGAGAUACGGCCCAGACUCCUACGGGAGGCAGCAGUGGGGAAUAUUGCACAAUGGGCGCAAGCCUGAUGCAGCGACGCCGCGUGGGGGAUGACGGCCUUCGGGUUGUAAACUCCUUUCGCUAGGGACGAAGCGCAAGUGACGGUACCUGGAGAAGAAGCACUGGCUAACUACGUG